rnacentral:rRNA from 1 species
ACGCUCGACACCUACGGGAGGCAGCAGUGGGGAAUAUUGCACAAUGGGGGAAACCCUGAUGCAGCGACGCCGCGUGAAGGAAGAAGUAUCUCGGUAUGUAAACUUCUAUCAGCAGGGAAGAAAUGACGGUAUCUGACUAAGAAGCCCCGGCUAACUACGUGCCAGCAGCCACGGUAAUCUGAGCGGGCUGGCAAGGC